AUUACCUCAUGGCUGUGGGUUGUUGUAUGAGUAUGGAUGAUAAGUAUUUUGUUGCUCUGUAUGCUAGUUACUGGGCUGUCUGUCCCAGAGCGUAUGGACCUUUACAAACAUUGUCACUUCAAGAAUGAGUAAAAGGGAGAUUUCUGAGAUACCAGCAGCUCAAGUGACUCUACUGGAACUGUGGCAUUUAUCACAGACAAAAUUAGGAUGGAAGAGAGCAUAAAGGUACCAAACUAAAAAGGGAUCUACAUUUAUCCUUAAAAGAAAAACAUUCUCACUUUGCAAACUGGGGGUUAAUUCUGCUCUUUCACAUAAGGGAGAGAAGAGGCAAAGAGGAAGGAGUGACUAACACAAAUAGCACAGUGGUAAUUUGUAAUAGACAGCCUCACCCAGUCCCCAAAGAAGGUAAAAAGUGGACCAUUGGUUGUAGCAGUUGGUGACGC